CGAGCGACUGGCCGAGCCGGUGCCGCGCCCGCAGCUGCAGCCGCCGGUAGGGCGCCAGCCGCCGGUGCAGGUUGUAGGCCUGCUCGCACAG
rnacentral:tRNA from 1 species